rnacentral:rRNA from 1 species
AUGAUGGGGAGUUUGAUCCUGGCUCAGAACGAACGCUGGCGGCGCGUCUUAAGCAUGCAAGUCGGGCGGCAGGGGGCGCUCAGGCGCCUCCGAGAGCGGCGGACUGGUGAGUAACACGUGGGCGACGCGCCCCCCGGACGGGAACAGCC